CUCAUACGCAAACCUCUUUUGGUAAAAUAACAAAAGAAAAAUAUGAGUUACAGCGUUUUCGCGAUGGUGGAGCGUGACAAUUUUCUUGAAAAUCCAAAGUUUUGAACAAUUUUUAUGCAUACACAUGUUUUUUCUUAUGCGGAUAAUAUAAUAGAGAGUUUUUUUUAUCCGUGUAAACGCUUUAUUUCAUUUGCCUUUUGUGAGCAAGAUGUGAUUUUGUUAUUUUUUUUUGAAAAUAAAAAUGCUAUUUUUUCGUUUAAUGUUUUGUAAUUGAAAAAUCGUUUGCCAACGCUAAAAUUCCAAAAGUUUACAUAACUGCACAGAACGAAAAUUCGUCCAGAUCGACACAGAAAGCGGAAGCGGCGCCUUGUUGUUGUUUCACAAUAAAUCACUAGAAUAUUAACGAUUCAAAGCAAAACUCCAUUUAUAUCAAGAGCUGUGUAUAAAACAUUGGUGGCCGUCGAGAAUAUUUCAGCAAACACACUGCUAACUUUAACGCAAUUGAGCAAGGACGCUGAACACAGAUACCACCGACCAGGGGCAUUUAUACGAGUGUCGGAAGACGUUAAUAAAACAGCCAUCACUUCUUCGCCACCCUCUCCCAAUACGGCCAGUGCACAGCCGACCGUUGUUGUUUUGCUGCGGGUGGACGUGCGACUCGCAUGCACGACGACGCGGACGACCGAGUCGCUCCGGUUCACCUGCCACUGAAAAAACACACUCCUACACCGGACACGCGUUAUCGGACGUCUCAAUCGCUUUUUACUACUUGCCGUGUAUGCCUUUUAAUUGAAACAAUGGUCGAAUUAUAUCCGCAAAUAUCAAAUUGUCUUCGAAUAUUCAUACGAUGAGAGGUGGUCAUGCGGGUUUGCAGGGUGCAACAGUUUUAUUACUAUUAUUGACCCUCGUUACCAUAACGAGCAAUCGGUAAAACGAUAAAAUAUCCUCAAUUGCGAUCAUUACAACGGUAGAGGUCAAAUCCUCAAGAAGAAUAAUUUACUGAGGCCAAUAAAGAGCAAACAAAAAUAUUCUCGUCGUUACUUGGCGUAUGCUGUAAAGGUCUGCGAAUAAUCAAAAUUCUGUAAAUAUCGAUUCGCCUUAAAGACACUACAGGGCAAUUACUAGAACAGUUGGCAAGCUUUCUCACGUCGAUGUGACGAUUAUUGUAGUAAAACAUAUUCAUGUAAAAUUUGCUUAAAGAAGAGACAUCCUCUACACUAUAUGGCUUACAAAUAGCCGAACAAUGACCCGGCCCGACUGGCCUAAUCGUAAUGUUCCGAAAUUAAUUACAUUUAAACCCAUCUCGUGUUCACCUUGUAACAACAUAUAUCUAUUUCAGUACAGGUGUGUUCACUUUAAGCAUUGAAGCUAUAACUACUACAAAAAUAUUAAUUAGGUUAUUUUGUACUAGUACAAGUGCAUAAUACAGUACAUUUUUUAGAACUUGCGAAAAAAUUGUUUAAUUCUCACCAUUAUUGUUUCGGUUUAGUUAAUAAAAUCCUGUUUUUACUAUUCUAGUAAAACAAUAGGAAUGUCCAAGUUAUAAUUUAUUAAAAGUUAAUGCGCUCAUUAAUAGGUAUAUUUCAUAGUUUCUAUGUUCGU